UACAUGCAAAAUCUCAACCGAAACCGUGGUCAUUACUCCGAUUUUUCUGGCUUCUUUUUAUAGUUGCCGUCGGACCACCUUAUCCAUUUGACCGCUUAUCCAUCUCUCCUCCUGUUUCAUUGGCAUCCAGCUGCCGCGGCGGCUCACAUGGAUGGACGGCUACAGCGGCGGCUAAGAACAGUUCGAUCGGAAGGUCCAUCUUCUCAUCGCCAAUUGUGAUGACGUGAACCAGGUUGCUUUUCGGCACGGUGGCCAUGGGUGAAAUAAGACCGGAGGUGCACUCCAGCGACGCCUUGUUCUUUUUCCCGUUGAUGUGAAUCCUGCUCCAAGUUCUCCAACUGCAAUUAGCUGCUUUUGAAGCCCACCAAUCAUAUGCCAGGUUAUGCCAAGAACCACCACAGAUCUGGUAAGUGGCACGACAUGGUUGUAUCUCCUCGUACAGUUGGCAACUAUUUCUCGUCUAAUUUUUAUAGGGUCAAUUGAACAGGAGGAUGCCUUCUAUGCCCAUAUGCCACAUGCAAAUAGUCCAAAAUUUAGAUUUGGGGAUUUUUCUUCUGUUCAUGGUUUGUAUGAAUUUAAUUUAAUUACAAAUUCUGGUAAACAAUUAGGGAUGCCAUCCGAUUGUUUUUAGGUGCAUUUCAAUGAAUUAAUGCCAUCCGAUCUAAUUUGUAAAUGCAGUGUGUACGUCUUUGGGUACAUUACGCCGCCCCCGCCGGCCAUGUGCGGUGGAGCGGCCAUGGUGAAGUUUGAUGCAUGCACGACGAGUGAUCUCAUGUUUCUUAUUGAUGAUGACGUAUAUGUUCUCUGCGAAAAAAUUGAUGAUGUAUAUGUACUCCUUCUGAUGCAUAUGAACUGAUUUUUUUUUAUAAACUUACCUUUUAUUUCAGAUGAAUAUACUAAUUGUUCUGUGAAUGGAUGAAUGCAUAUAUGUACUCCUUCUGAUGUAGUAUAUAUACUGUUUUGGUGAACACUUCUUCAGAAAGAAACUGCAGCACACUCUUUCAAAAAUGCAGUAUAUACUUCUUAAACAAAUGGCAGUAUAUACUCUUCUGAGUAUUUUGCUGGUAUAUACUCCUUCAAAAAAAUGGCAGUGUAUACUCCUUCAAAAAAUGGCAGUACAUACUCCUUGAAUGUUGUGAGUAUAUACUCCUUCAAAAAACUACUUAAAAGGCUGUAUAGACCUGUUUAUAAAAAAAUGCAGUAUAUGUCUUGCAUGUGCGUUGGGCACAUAUAUAUAUAGGAAAAUGGGUUAGUACUCCUAAAAGUAUGUACUCCUACACACGUCUAGCUUGUUUUUUUUGUUUGCCCGUGCUAUGGGAUUCUAUCCCCCGUAGCCUUUCAUAUUUUUACGUGAAAAAACCCCAACAAAACAGAUCAUUGCUCCGAUUUUAAUGUGGUGUUUAUUUUUGUCGCUUGACCCGCCUUAUCCAUUUGAGCGCCUAUCGAUCUGCCCUACCGUCUCAUUAGCGGCGGGGGCAACAAUGGCGGCGAUGCCGGCGGCGGCGGCUUGCAGCUGGCGCAAAGAUAUUGGCCGCGAAGACAAGAUCUCGCUGGACAGUGGCUCUUCUUCUCACCGGCCAACGGCGACGACGACAGUGGCCGGCUUCGUUUCCGUCGCGCGACGACCAUACUCAAAAUCAAAUCAAUGGUUCGCUCAUGUAUCUCUUCUUUCGGCUUCCAGGUGGCUGGCAUGGCCUGCCGCGUCGCUAGUGGAUGAGCGUCAUGCGAGAGAACAGUGGCGCCCAAUUCUUCCCAAUCGAUGGUGGAGUCUCGUCCAAGUUUCCAACCGUAAGCAGCUGGCCCACGAAUCAAAUGCUAAGUACCCGAUCGAUUGGUCUCAUUACCAUCUGCUUGCAUAUAUUCCUCAUGGAAGCAGUUUAAUCCCAUUGAGCCGGAUUGAUUCUGCCGGCUCUACUCUUCUGAAUCCUUUCAGUUUUCCAGAAUAUCCAAGGAUGCAAUGCAUGUAAAUUUGUGUGAUUGAGGAGAGCCUCCAUGCGAUCUCCAGAAGCAUAGUUGUGUUAUCUGCAGUUUUCUGGCAGACAUAAUCCUUUUCUUUGUAGCAUAGCCUUUUUGAAGAUCUAAAAGUAGUUGCAUAGUCCUUUUUGCUUGAUCGGUAUAGAUGUUUCUAUUAAGAUGCGAAUUUAUGUACUCAUCUAGCAAUGCAUAUUAAGCAUGCUGGCCAGA